rnacentral:tRNA from 1 species
UCCCCAGUAGCUCAGAUGGUAAAGAAUCCACCUGCAAUGUGGGAGACCUGGGUUCAAUCCCUGGGUUGGGAA